UGGGGAAUUUUGGACAAUGGGGGAAACCCUGAUCCAGCCAUCCCGCGUGUGCGAUGAAGGCCUUCGGGUUGUAAAGCACUUUUGGCAGGAAAGAAACGUCGCGGGUUAAUACCCCGCGAAACUGACGGCACCUGCAGAAUAAGCACCGGCUAACUACGUGCCAGCAGCCGCGGUAAUACGUAGGGUGCAAGCGUUAAUCGGAAUUACUGGGCGUAAAGCGUGCGCAGGCGGUUCGGAAAGAAAGAUGUGAAAUCCCAGAGCUUAACUUUGGAACUGCAUUUUUAACUACCGGGCUAGAGUGUGUCAGAGGGAGGUGGAAUUCCGCGUGUAGCAGUGAAAUGCGUAGAUAUGCGGAGGAACACCGAUGGCGAAGGCAGCCUCCUGGGAUAACACUGACGCUCAUGCACGAAAGCGUGGGGAGCAAACAGGAUUAGAUACCCUGGGUAGUCCACGCCCUAAACGAUGUCAACUAGCUGUUGGGGCCUUCGGGCCUUGGUAGCGCAGCUAACGCGUGAAGUUGGGCCGCCUGGGGAGUNCGGUCGCAAGAUUAAAACUUAAAUGAAUUUAGACGGGGGUCA
rnacentral:rRNA from 1 species